GACAAAAAUUACUUCAACUUCUUAGCAUGAAAAUUAGAAAAAAAGGUGAUAGAGGGAAACUUUGAUAGCUAAAAUUAUCAGCAAGACAAGAUCGAAAAAUUAGUAAAGAAGGCUGAAAAAUGAUCAGCAAAAAAAAUGAACAAGACACAAUAUUUUUGAAUUAGAUUUAUAGGAAAAUUUGUCAGGCAACUCCUUAUAGCAAUUUUUGUCUUAAAUGAUGAUGAUGAUUUUACCCAUAUUUAGCCUAUUAAC
rnacentral:lncRNA from 1 species